rnacentral:tRNA from 3 species
GGAGGCGUAGCUCAGCCGGUAGAGCACUUGCUUCACACGCAAGGGGUCACAGAUUCGAGUUCUGUCGUCUCCA